GGUGGUGCAUGGUUGUCGUCAGCUCGUGUCGUGAGAUGUUGGGUUAAGUCCCGCAACGAGCGCAACCCUUAUUACUAGUUGCCAGCAUUAAGUUGGGCACUCUAGUGAGACUGCCGGUGACAAACCGGAGGAAGGUGGGGACGACGUCAAAUCAUCAUGCCCCUUAUGACCUGGGCUACACACGUGCUACAAUGGAUGGUACAACGAGUUGCGAGACCGCGAGGUUUAGCUAAUCUCUUAAAACCAUUCUCAGUUCGGAUUGUAGGCUGCAACUCGCCUACAUGAAGCCGGAAUCGCUAGUAAUCGCGGAUCAGCAUGCCGCGGUGAAUACGUUCCCGGGUCUUGUACACAC
rnacentral:rRNA from 1 species